rnacentral:tRNA from 1 species
GGGCCGGUAGCUCAGCCUGGAAGAGCGCUCGGCUUGCAACCGAGAGGCCCCGGGUUCAAAUCCCGGCCGGUCCACCA